rnacentral:lncRNA from 1 species
GCGACGUCCCGAUAGGCACUCAUUACCCCGAAUGCCGAUCGAAAUCCCGCAAAGCUUAGCAUCAGCUUCCGCAUCUCCCCAGUGAGCUUCAGUUAUUACAUCUCACAUUUCAAACAAAAUAUAAGUCAUUUUCAAAUCAAAAUAAUAAAAUAUUACUUUCUAGCUCACAGGGGCAUUUUCAUCAUUUUUCUUCAAAAAUACCAAAACUCGCCAAAAACAUGGUGCAAAAGCUAAAUAUAUUCAUACAUACUUUAAAUCAAAUAACUGAAGAAUAAAAUUAC